CCCAACAACUAAAGCUAUACCGUCUUAAAUUAAUUGUGCUUAUUGGAUGUGUUUAGGCUAUGUUUGGGGGGGCUUUUUAGCUCCCCUGCUUAUAAGCACAAGAUGACUAUGCGUUUGGUAACCCGACUUAUGCUCAGCUUAUUGCAAAAGCCGCUGCAGCUUCUCUCAAAAAGCAGAAGCUGUCUGACCCCUGCUUUCAGAAGCCAGAAGCCAGGAUUAUACUGUAGCGGUAGUUACUGUAGAUUAAUGAAUCUUUCAAAAUACCGGUCUCUAUCCUCCCUUGUUGAGGCAAUUACGGAUUGCCAUGAAACCCUUCUUCGACUGCGAGAUGCGAUAUGCAUCUCUCUCAAUCCAAAACCCAAUGAAGUCAACAUCUCUCAAUCGACCAUCGUAGUGACCGCGACUUCGCCGUCGACCACCGCGUGCUUCUCUCUCUCCCCACCGCCUGACUUUCCAAUCCGUUCUCCGGCUCAAAAGUCCACCCUUUCAUUCAAGAAAUUUACUCCAAUGGCAAGGCUGCAGCCACUCGUGCCUUGGCAAGAGGGACCAAUUUGAAUUCAAUCCUGGCAAUGUUGAAGGAGACCUUAUUGGAAGAAAGAUCGGGGUGCUGACAUUUUGUCCGCAGUGAAGAAAGAGAAGGUUAUGGGUCAAGUGGUGGGAUAGAAAUGGAUGAUGAUGUAGAAGAAGAAUGUCAUGGUCAUGGUGCACAAGAAAUGAAAACAAUAAGAAAUAGCAUUACUCAAAGUUUGAUGAAUGCGCGUAAUAACGUGAACAUUUGAAUAUGUUAUGAUAUUUUUUGUGGUUACUUGAUGCAAACCAGAAACCAAUUGUUAUUAAUGUUACUAAUAUAUUUGUAUAAGUUAUUUUUAAAA